rnacentral:rRNA from 1 species
AGAGUUGAUCAUGGCUCAGAACGAACGCUGGCGGCAUGGAUUAGGCAUGCAAGUCGAACGGGAGCAGCAAUGCUCCAGUGGCGCAAGGGUGAGGAACACGUGAACAACCUGCCUUCGAGUUGGGGAUAGCUUCUGGAAACGGGAGAUAAUACCGAAUAACAUCACCGGAUCGCAUGAUCUGGUGAUCAAAGCAGCAAUGCGCUUGAAGAGGGGUUCGCGUCCCAUUAGCUAGUUGGUGAGGUAACGGCCCACCAAGGCGAUGAUGGGUAGCUGGUCUGAGAGGACGAUCAGCCACAUUGGGACUGAGAUACUGCCCAGACUCCUACGGGAGGCUGCAGUCGAGAAUUUUGGGCAAUGGACGAAAGUCUGACCCAAGCAAUGCCGCGUGCGGGAUGAAGGUCUUCGGAUUGUAAACCGCUGUCAGGAGGGACGAAACAUGACGGUACCUCUGGAGGAAGCCACGGCUAACUACGUGCCAGCCGCAGC